AUUGAUAAUCAGAUCAGCCUAUAAGAAUCUUACUUUGGAUCAUAACUUUAUAUAUAAAACUCUUGGUGAUCAAAAUACAAAAUACGAGAAACCAUAACCAUUAAAUAUUGAAGGACAACGAUACAGUUUUGUAACUAUCCGAUCGAAGUCUUAUCCAAAUCUUAAGAAAAUUCAUUGAAAGCACGUUUUACACAUAACGGAAAGUCUCACGCUCUGGGUAUAAAGUGGAAAGAUGUUUAAUCAAAGGCCAAGCUCACUAUUCCCAACUCUGGUGUAAGGACAGCAGAUGCCUACCGAUUCGACUGGCUACAAUAAAAGUGAACAAGGACAUUUAACCUAUUGUAUUUGCCGGUAAAAGCUUUCGAUAGUUAAAAGUUAUGCAGAUGGAAUUUCAAGCCAGGAAUAUUUACAUUUAAUUGAAUGUUUUGCUUAUCAAAAUGCCUGUGACAUCCAUUUGACAGCUAUUUGGUUACACAUACGAUUCGUUCGAUUCGAAAAUCGGUCGGUUGUCGCCCUAUAAAACUGUCAUAACAUUACCGAAAUUCAAGACCAGCACAUUUUAUUAAAUUGCCCGGAGAAUAGCAUUGAUUACAGCAUUUGAAAUGCCGCAGACGAAAGCGCAGUUCAAUUGAAAUGCCGUAAAAUGGCAGAUGGGUCCGUAUUGAAGUAAAUAAGCCGCGAAACGAAACAAACAGAAUAUCUAAUUAUAAAGAUAAUUUGCUAGUCAUGGCAAAGGAUUUCUAUUUGCUGGACAAUUCACGAGAGGACGUGUACAAUUUUACUCUAAUAAGUCACGAGCACGAAAAACAAAUGUCGCAGCAUAUAUAUGUCAGAACUGUCAUAUCUAUCGGAUUUAAAGUUUGUCAACUUACAUACUUAUUAACC